UGCUGUAGGAGACACCGUGGCCUCAAUGACCACUGACUAGUUGCCCUCACAUCCCAUGUGAUGAAGGUGCUGGAGAGGCUGCUCUUGACCCACCUUCAAGCCCAGAUAAAAUCAUCACCGGGCCCUCUGCAAUUUGCAUUGCCUUAUGUGGGAGUGGAUGACGCCAUCAUCUACCUGCUGCCACGAGCCCAGUCGCACCUGGAUGGUGGCUCUAUCCCUUUCUUUGACUUCUCCAAUCAGUGAUUCUGGCGCUUCACAGUUCUGUGUACCUUGUACACAACUCACUUCAGUUAGGGCAGCUCCGACCGCUGGGCGCUACAUGACUUGUAAAAAUAAAUGCUGCAGCCUGCCGAAGAGCAACGUCAGUUUUUACGGCAUAAUGCCGGUAUGAACAGUGCGUGAGUUACCGUAAAACCUUGAUUAAAGACUACAUAGAAGACUGUAAAAAUUGUCAGCCCCUCCCCACUCUUUAUUCUUAAACCGGAAAUAUGAUCAUUAGCGCCUAAAAGAACGUUUUGUGUAUUCUUGUGUGAGUACUACACUUUUAAAUGCUAUUUCCCAUUCUAAAUUCAUAAUUUAUGUCUGCACAUAUAAAUACUUGUUCUGAAUACAAGGGCUUGUAAAUGUAGUAGUUGUAGUUUUUAUUCUUAAAAUAUCAAUGUUUGUCUACAUUUUUAUUUGUUCAAAAAUGCUUCCAGUUUUAUUAGAAAUUAAAUAAAAUACAUAUUAAAAUGUAUACUUAAUUCUAGUUGAGUAAUAACGUCUCAACUUCACCAGGUAUUUUAUGUAAUCCUUCGGUUUUAGUAAUUACUAUUACCCUUCUACGUUAUUAACAAGGCCCAGCAGAACAGGCUGAGCCCCAAUGCUCCCUCAAGCUAAUGGUGACUGAAGGAGUGGGGGGAUGGGCGAGGGUACGGUGGGGACAGUCAAUGUCAGGUUUUGUGUUAAGAACCUUAAGUUUCGUUUUUUUACACAAAACCGAACUGUUACCAUCCACGUGGGGUCCUCGGUCUGGCCACGCCCCCACCAAGCACCUGCUACCGUCCAUUUCCCUCAGACUGCCGAGCAGCAGACAACGUGACGGUGCUGGCUGCAGAAGCUGGAUAGAAAUGGUGAGUUUUUAAUUAUUGGACUAGCUUCUAAUGUAAAACAGUGCUUUUUACGUUUACUUUGAUACUUUUAAUAUAUGUACUGCCAUAUAAAAUGAGCUGUUGCAAUGUGCUAAACUCAACUUAGAUGGGAAGCUAAUGUUAGCUAACAAUAAGCAAGCAUGUGCAACUAGCACCACAAAUAGUGCUGUUAAGUUUACUUUGAUACUAUUUUCAUAUGUACUGCCAUAUAAAAUGAGCUGUUGCAAUGUGUUAAACUCAACUUAAAUGGACAGCUAAUGUUAGCUAACAAUAAGCAAGCAUGUGCAAGCAGCAGCAUGUGCACGCGUUGUGAAAUAGAAUGCUGGACAGCUAAUUAGUUAUUUAUUAUAUACUAUAUAAAUAUAUUCAUGUUUUAUCAAUAUCUUUUCACACAGAAUGUGAAUAUUAUGCUGAACAAAGGGAGUGUAAUACUUAAUCUGCGUUAAGACCUGGAUUAUAACUAAUUUCCCUUUAACCAUUUUAAGUAUCCUUACGGUGGCUUUUGGGCCUAUAACACUUAAUAAGCAGUUUUCCAUUUGCCCAAAGAGUGAUUGUAAUAUCUACCCAUGUAUAAAUAGGCAUUUUAAUUCAGAUUGUCAUAGGUAUUGAGAUAGAUAAUAUAAUGUUUGUCGUUAAGAACAGAAGUAGAUGUUGUUACUAUAAUGCAUUCCAUAACAGAUAAACUUAAUUCAUUUCAGUAAAAAAAAAAAAAAAGAGUACUGUAAUGGGUUGGAUGUAUAGCUUUGGCUGAAUGUGUCCCUUGUGCUUUUAGGAGGAUGGAGCAUGUUUGCCAUCCAGUAGUGACAGCUCGAAGUGCACAGAUGCUGAUGUCGGAGAAAUGAAGGAGCCUUUGACCGUGAACAUACUAACCAGGUAGUUCCGAUGAAAAGAUGCUGCUGGCUGGAGAGGUCUGGUGAAUCUCACACAAAAAAGGGUCACCACAAACAAAGAAGAAGAAGUGGAGAAGAGGAAAUCGAAGCUGUUGAAAGGACCUUAAUGGACUACAUCAAUGGUGGUCAGUGGUCAGAAAUGCAUCACAACAUCGUCACUGGCCGAUCAAGGGAUGAGUUGUCAAAAUAUAUAUUAAAAACUGAAUUUAAAAGAAUUUAAAAAAAGGUAAGCCGCAUUUUCAUCAGAUGGAAGAUUAAAUUCCUGGUGGACUGCCAGCACGUUUACAGACAUUGUUUACAGUAGUCUUAUUGCUCCCUGUUCUGUUAUUGUUAUAUUCAUAUAAUAUUUGAAAGUUGAAAUGUUGUGCACUGCUGUUGUGUGUGUAUAUACACACAUUCCCCUCCAUGAUGCUUUAAACUGCAUAGUUUAAAAAAAAUAAAGAUGCAAUAUAUCAAACAAUAUUAUAGAGUGGGGUUUAAUAUUCAUAGAUAAUGAGUCAUUAUACAAUGAUAAUGAGUUAUUAUACAAUUAUAACAUUCAAUGGUGUAUAUAUUCAGCAUGAAUUGACAAAAUAUGUAUUAAGUGCCUUAGAGUUUCUAAAAAGUACCCUUUAUUGAGUACCUUACCUUGUUUGAGACACAUUUUGAACACUGCCCCCUGGUGUGAUUUUGUAUUAUGACAUAAUUGGACGGUCCCCACCGGAAUAGAGAAACCAGAAAAAUAUUCAACUCUAUAAAUUUGAGAAAUUUUGAGAUUUAAGAUGAUAUUGGGGUUUGAAAAAAAUUAAGGAAAAUGAUUUGAUUGAAAGUAUGCCAUUAUUCUGUUAAAAAAAAUGAGGUCCCCACGCUUCACCUCUGUGCAUAAGUCCCCACCGGCAUAGAAGAACCCGUCUGUGUGUGUGUG